UGAGGGUGAGUGGCUUUUAGGAUCUCCUGGGUGGUUAUUUAGGCAUUCUGGGUGGUUGCAAGUAUGUUCUGGUGGUUAAUAGUUUGUUCAUAGUAGUUGCUAGUAUGUUCUAGUUGGUUACUAGUUUGUUCUAAGUAGUUGUUCCUUUUAGGUGAUUGUUGGCUGUUCUGGGAGGUUAUUAGCUUGUUUUGGGUGGCGGUUGGCUGUUCUGGGUGUUUAUUUGUUGUUUUGGGUGGUUGUUGGCUGUUCUGGGUGGAUAUUCAUUGUUUUGGGUGGUUGUUGGCUGUUCUAGGUAAUUAUUAGAUGUUUUGGGUGGCUUUUGGCUGUUCUAUGUGGUUAUUAGAUGUUUUGGGUGGUUGUUAGCUGUUCUAUGUGGUUAUUAGUUGUUUUUGGUGGUUGUUGGUUGUUCUGUGUAGUUAUUAAUUUGGUGGUUAUUAGGUUGUUGAAGGUGGAUGUUUGGUUGUUUUAGGUUGUUGGCUGUUCUAGGUGGUUAUUAGGUUGUUGAAGGUGGUGUUAGGUUGUUGGCUGUUCAGGGUGGUUAUUAGGUUGUUUUGGGUGGUUGUUGGCUGUUCUGGGUGGUUAUUAGGUUAUUGUAGGUGGUUGUUAGGUUGUUUUGGGUGGUUGUUGGCUGUUCUGGGUGGUUAUUAGGUUAUUGUAGGUGGUUGUUAGGUUGUUUUGGGUGGUUGUUGGCUGUUCUGGGUGGUGAUUAGAUUGUUUUGGAUGAUUGUUGGCUGUUCCGGGUGGUUAUUAGGUUAUUGUAGGUGGUUGUUAGGUUGUUUUAGGUGGUUGUUGGAUGUUCUGGGUGAUUGGAUGCUCUGGGGGGUUACUAGGAUGCUUUGGGUAGUUACUAAUUUGUCCAUUAUAGUUAAGGUGUUCUAGGUGGUUGCUAUGUUGGUGGUUGUUAGGAUGCUGUGGGUGGUGGGUAGCAUGUUCUAGGUGGUUGUUUGGUUGUUUUAGGUGAUUGUUACCGUGUCCUUUGUGUUUACUAGUUUGUUCAUAGUAGCUGUUAGGUUGUUAAGAUUGCUACAUUGUUCUGGGUGGUUACUGAGUUGUUAGUAGUUGUUGGCAUGGUCUCCGUCACAAGUUUUCAAACUCUGGGU
ensembl:lncRNA